UACGUAGGGUGCAAGCGUUGUCCGGAAUUAUUGGGCGUAAAGAGCUCGUAGGCGGUCUGUCGCGUCGGCUGUGAAAACUCGGGGCUCAACCCCGAGCCUGCAGUCGAUACGGGCAGACUAGAGUGCGGUAGGGGAGACUGGAAUUCCUGGUGUAGCGGUGAAAUGCGCAGAUAUCAGGAGGAACACCGGUGGCGAAGGCGGGUCUCUGGGCCGUAACUGACGCUGAGGAGCGAAAGCCAGGGGAGCAAACGGG
rnacentral:rRNA from 1 species